GUGUCAGCAGCCGCGGUAAUACGUAGGUGGCAAGCGUUGUCCGGAUUUACUGGGCGUAAAGAGCGCGCAGGCGACCAAGUCAGUCGAAUGUGAAAGCCCCCGGCUUAACUGGGGAGGGUCAUUCGAUACUGCUCGGCUCGAAGACAGGAGAGGGAAGCGAAAUUCCCGGUGUAGUGGUGAAAUGCGUAGAUAUCGGGAGGAACACCAGUGGCGAAGGCGGCUUUCUGGCCUGUUCUUGACGCCGAGGCGCGAAAGCUAGGGGAGCAAACGGGAUUAGAAACCCCAGUAGUCC
rnacentral:rRNA from 1 species